rnacentral:rRNA from 1 species
UACAGAGGUCUCAAGCGUUGUUCGGAUUCAUUGGGCGUAAAGGGUGUGUAGGUGGCGCGCUAAGUCGGGUGUGAAAUUUCGGAGCUUAACUCCGAAACUGCAUUCGAUACUGGCAUGCUUGAGGACUGGAGAGGAGACUGGAAUUCAUGGUGUAGCAGUGGAAUGCGUAGAGAUCAUGAGGAAGACUAGUGGCGAAGGCGGGUCUCUGGACAGUUCCUGACACUGAGACACGAAGGCCAGGGGAGCAAACGGG